rnacentral:rRNA from 1 species
UUGAACGCUGGCGGCAUGCUUUACACAUGCAAGUCGAACGGCAGCACGGGGGCAACCCUGGUGGCGAGUGGCGAACGGGUGAGUAAUAUAUCGGAACAUAUCCGGAAGUGGGGGAUAACGUACCGAAAGGUACGCUAAUACCGCAUAUGCCCUGAGGGGGAAAGGGGGGGAUCGCAAGACCUCUCGCUUUCGGAGUGGCCGAUAUCGGAUUAGCUAGUUGGUGAGGUAAAGGCUCACCAAGGCGACGAUCCGUAGCUGGUCUGAGAGGACGACCAGCCACACUGGAACUGAGACACGGUCCAGACUCCUACGGGAGGCAGCAGUGGGGAAUUUUGGACAAUGGGCGAAAGCCUGAUCCAGCCAUGCCGCGUGAGUGAAGAAGGCCUUCGGGUUGUAAAGCUCUUUCAGCCGGAAAGAAAUUGCUUCUAUUAAUACUAGGAGUAGAUGACGGUACCGGAAGAAGAAGCACCGGCUAACUACGUGCCAGCAGCCGCGGUAAUACGUAGGGUGCGAGCGUUAAUCGGAAUUACUGGGCGUAAAGCGUGCGCAGGCGGUUUGGUAAGACAGACGUGAAAUCCCCGGGCUUAACCUGGGAACUGCGUUUGUGACUGUCAGACUAGAGUGUAGCAGAGGGGGGUAGAAUUCCACGUGUAGCAGUGAAAUGCGUAGAUAUGUGGAGGAAUACCAAUGGCGAAGGCAGCCCCCUGGGUUAACACUGACGCUCAUGCACGAAAGCGUGGGGAGCAAACAGGAUUAGAUACCCUGGUAGUCCACGCCCUAAACGAUGUCAACUGGUUGUUGGGUCUUCACUGACUCAGUAACGAAGCUAACGCGUGAAGUGACC